GUCUCAUUAGACUAAUAUUUACCAAAAUCCCAAGUCUAUCCUUCGAAAAUACAAAUAUAAACUAAUUAUAAUUUAUUAAAAUAUUAUACUUUAAAUUAACUAAAUUAAAUCAAAAUCAACACAUAAAAAAUACCCAAAUUAAUUUUCUUAACCCUAAUCUCGUUAUCUCUUGCCUUUCUCUCUAGGUGGCGACAAAGAAACCCGCUCUCUUACGGUGGAGCAACAAAGGCGAGACUUCUUCUCCGACGUAAAGAGUGUGUGCUCUGGCUUAGAUCGUUUAUCUCUCAUGGUGGAGCGACGAAGACUAGACUUCUUCUCCGGCUUUAAGAAUCAGAGAAAAUGACGGCAUUACAGAGGAGACUCUCGGUCUGUGUUUUCUGCAACUGAGGAAGUGGUUCUCACGCUCGUGUGAAGGAUUGCGGGUUAAGAGUGUUGAUUGCAAAUCUUUAUACCAGAUUUUCAUGGAGAUUUGAAGACUAAUGAUAUGGCUACAUGGAACCAUCCGAGUUCUGUUCUUGAAAGCAUGUCUAGUCUACAAAUAUUCAACUGGUUACGACACGUUGGGAGAUCACAAGAUAGAGACAUAUGCGGUUGUAUCUUGAAUAUCUCAAUGGUAGAUGUGCAAGUUGAAUCACCCUCCACAGAAUUCCCUGAUGACUUCUAUAGCUGAAACAAUGAGCAUUGAAAUUUAGUUUGAAGCCACCAAAACCUCAAACCAAAAAUUAGAUAACUUCAAAUUAGUUCACAUCGGUUCAUAUUUGCUAGUAGACUCUGCAUGGUGUUGCAACAAGGUUGUUAAAAUUAUAGCCAAACGUUUUGAACCUUCUGUUUGGUUGGUUUUAUACUUGUGUUGACUCCAGAUAUAUGAUGAAGCAUUUUUGUCUUUC